AUGACCCAGCAGGUGAGGAGGGAGACCAGGAGUGAGGGGGUGACCGCCAUGGGCGGGUACAACCUGUUCCUGGCGACCAAGAUGCCGCCGGAGCACCGCAUCUAUGACCCGGACUUGGAGUCGCUGGAGUCGUCCACGACCCCGUUCCUCACGUCGUUCGAGGUGCUGGACGUGUACAGCGGCCCGCCCAUGGGUGUCUUCAAGUUCCGGCACUGGGGCUACAUGGAGGGCCCAUUCAAGGGCCACCCUCCGCACGGCCACCUCGUCGAGUUCUUCGGUGUCCGUGUCUUCCACGUCGAUCAAGACACCAAGGUGGAGAAGGCAGAGUUCUUCUACGAGCGUGGCAACUUCCUCGCAAGCUUCUUGUCUGCGCCUUCUACUUCUGCUUCUGCUGCAUCGGCUUCAGGUUGCCCUGUGAUGAGAGGAGACUGA
rnacentral:rRNA from 1 species